CCUGUGAGGGUUGCUGGAGGUAUCAGAAGUGCGAAUGCUGACAUAAGUAACGAUAAAGCGGGUGAAAAGCCCGCUCGCCGGAAGACCAAGGGUUCCUGUCCAACGUUAAUCGGGGCAGGGUGAGUCGACCCCUAAGGCGAGGCCGAAAGGCGUAGUCGAUGGGAAACGGGUUAAUAUUCCCGUACUUGGUGUUACUGCGAAGGGGGGACGGAGAAGGCUAUGUUGGCCGGGCGACGGUUGUCCCGGUUUAAGCGUGUAGGUGUGUGUUCCAGGUAAAUCCGGUUCACUUUAACACUGAGGCGUGACGACGAGGCACUACGGUGCUGAAGCAACAAAUGCCCUGCUUCCAGGAAAAGCCUCUAAGCAUCAGGUAACAUCAAAUCGUACCCCAAACCGACACAGGUGGUCAGGUAGAGAAUACCAAGGCGCUUGAGAGAACUCGGGUGAAGGAACUAGGCAAAAUGGUGCCGUAACUUCGGGAGAAGGCACGCUGACAUGUAGGUGAAGUGAUUUACUCAUGGAGCUGAAGUCAGUCGAAGAUACCAGCUGGCUGCAACUGUUUAUUAAAAACACAGCACUGUGCAAACACGAAAGUGGACGUAUACGGUGUGACGCCUGCCCGGUGCCGGAAGGUUAAUUGAUGGGGUCAGCGCAAGCGAAGCUCCUGAUCGAAGCCCCGGUAAACGGCGGCCGUAACUAUAACGGUCCUAAGGUAGCGAAAUUCCUUGUCGGGUAAGUUCCGACCUGCACGAAUGGCGUAAUGAUGGCCAGGCUGUCUCCACCCGAGACUCAGUGAAAUUGAACUCGCUGUGAAGAUGCAGUGUACCCGCGGCAAGACGGAAAGACCCCGUGAACCUUUACUAUAGCUUGACACUGAACAUUGAGCCUUGAUGUGUAGGAUAGGUGGGAGGCUUUGAAGUGUGGACGCCAGUCUGCAUGGAGCCGACCUUGAAAUACCACCCUUUAAUGUUU
rnacentral:rRNA from 1 species